rnacentral:lncRNA from 7 species
UUCCUUCCGCAUUGGACCCCCACCCACGGCUUGGAAACCCUCCCUCGUCGCAGUCGGCGGUGCGACGAGGUGAGCACAGCGGCGCAAGGAUGGCGAAGGCGGCGCUGGCAGUGAGAGGACAGAGGAACGAAGAGUCUCGCGAGCCUAGGCCUAGCUGUUUCGAAUCAUCAUUGGUAUCUCGUACCUCAGAUUCCUUUCAUUAGGUCCGCUCUCCGCUGCAUGUUGGCAAUGGCUAAAUGGGCGUCGUCUGUUCUACUAAGCUGUUACUCUAUACUAUGUCUGACUUGUUUCUCUAUGCGGACUGCAGAACAGAUAUACUGGAACUAGC